GUCACGUGCGCAAGAGCAUACCCUUGUAUUUAUACCAUGGCCUAUACUAGAGAGCCUUUAAUAAGAGAGUCGACAACUCGUUACGUGACCAAUCGCGCGCUAAUUGGCUGAGGGCCAAAUGCACACCUAUAGCCUUUUGAAAUUAGGUUCAAAUGAAAUAAAAUUCAAAUGAAAUUAGGUUCAAAUGAAGUGAAAUUCAAAUGAAAUUAGGUUCAAUGCGAGGAGAAGAGCAGUGUCAGUUGGACUGUGCGGGUAGUGCUAAUCGGUGAUUUUCUUAUCUCCACUCUCUUUCUUUGCAAUAAUUAAUAGUUAAUAUGCCGGGCUGUGCAGCCAAGUUUUGUUAUAACAGAUACGACAAAGGAUAUGUCAUGCUCUCCUCGCAGUGCGAGGCCAGUGAUGGUAGAUUCGGGCCGCUGCCAGCACGGAAUAGGAGUGGAGGGGGUAUGUCACGUGACGCUGCGUGACGCACCAUUUAUCGUCUCGUGUCCGUGAGCGCUCGGGAUCUCGGUCAACUUCGGCCGACUUCGGGGCUCGUUCAGGCUCGCUCGCGACGACGCGACCAACGUUUGUGGCUCGCGGCUCGCUGAUCAGCUGAUGUGCCGUACAAUACGGCCAAUGACAUAUAUAAAUAGACCAAGCAUUCCCUCAAAAACGUGAAAGCGGAAGUUGGCAGCGAGACUGAAGGACAGAGCUACUUUGCGUCUACUGCUCUCUCACUUCGAUGUACGAUGUAGAGUGAGAGAGCAGUAGACGCAAAGUAGCUCUGUCCUUCAGUCUCGCUGCAAAUUCCGGUGAGGGUCUGCUGUAGAGAGAAUGCUUGGUCUAUUUAUAUAUGUCGUUGAAUACGGCAGCUGUCAAUUCUGUCAAAUUUGUAUUGAUGAAACACGAUGAAA